GAUGAACGCUGGCGGCGUGCCUAAUACAUGCAAGUCGGGCGAACAGACGAGGAGCUUGCUCCUCUGACGUUAGCGGCGGACGGGUGAGUAACACGUGGAUAACCUACCUAUAAGACUGGGAUAACUUCGGGAAACCGGAGCUAAUACCGGAUAAUAUAUUGAACCGCAUGGUUCAAUAGUGAAAGACGGUUUUGCUGUCACUUAUAGAUGUAUCCGCGCCGCAUUAGCUAGUUGGUAAGGUAACGGCUUACCAAGGCAACGAUGCGUAGCCGACCUGAGAGGGUGAUCGGCCACACUGGAACUGAGACACGGUCCAGACUCCUACGGGAGGCAGCAGUAGGGAAUCUUCCGCAAUGGGCGAAAGCUUGACGGAGCAACGCCGCGUGAGUGAUGAAGGUCUUCGGAUCGUAAAACUCUGUUAUUAGGGAAGAACAAAUGUGUAAGUAACUAUGCACGUCUUGACGGUACCUAAUCAGAAAGCCACGGCUAACUACGUG
rnacentral:rRNA from 1 species